rnacentral:rRNA from 1 species
UGGGGAAUCUUGGACAAUGGGCGCAAGCCUGAUCCAGCCAUGCCGCGUGGAUGAUGAAGGCCUUAGGGUUGUAAAAUCCUUUCAACGGGGACGAUAAUGACGGUACCCGUAGAAGAAGCCCCGGCUAACUUCGUGCCAGCAGCCGCGGUAAUACGAAGGGGGCUAGCGUUGCUCGGAAUUACUGGGCGUAAAGCGCACGUAGGCGGAUAUUUAAGUCGGAGGUGAAAUCCCAGGGCUCAACCCUGGAACUGCCCUCGAUACUGGGUAUCUGGACCAAAGUAGAGGUAAGUGGAAUUCCGAGUGUAGAGGUGAAAUUCGUAGAUAUUCGGAGGAACACCAGUGGCGAAGGCGACUUACUGGACUUUUGGUGACGCUGAGGUGCGAAAGCGUGGGGAGCAAA